UACGUAGGGUGCGAGCGUUGUCCAGAAUUAUUGGGCGUAAAGGGCUCGUAGGCGGUCUGUCGCGUCGGGAGUGAAAACUCAGGGCUUAACCCUGAGCCUGCUUCCGAUACGGGCAGACUAGAGGUAUGCAGGGGAGAACGGAAUUCCUGGUGUAGCGGUGAAAUGCGCAGAUAUCAGGAGGAACACCGGUGGCGAAGGCGGUUCUCUGGGCAUUACCUGACGCUGAGGAGCGAAAGUGUGGGGAGCGAACAGG
rnacentral:rRNA from 1 species